rnacentral:lncRNA from 1 species
AAAUCUUUAAUCUUUCAAACAAAAUAAGGAAAGACACAAAAAGGUGUUUAAAAUUAGUCCUUUUAGAUUUCUGAAGAAGAAAUGGCAGUACCAAGAUUGAGACAAGUAAGAUUAGGGUUAGUAGCUGCUUGUCAUCAACUGCCAACAAACAGUCAGCUAUCUAAUCAUCACCAUAUGUAUUUAAUACCACUCUUUUUUAAAGCAUUUUAAAGUUCACUACUCUCUUCUCAGCUUAUUUUCUCUCCUGAUCACUUCACUGCACUCACAUGAAACUGGGAGCUUAAUUAAGUGUUCUUCUUUUUCUGGGUUCCUCUCUUUCUCNNN